GGGAACGGGUAACACUGCAACCUCUGCUACGCCUCUAGAAAUUCUGACUUGAGGCAGGGAAAAGUAAGGGCUUCCAGUCUGCAGGAAUUUUGAGAUUUGGCUGUGGUCAGUACUGGCCAGAACCAGAAAGUUGUCAGUGUUUCCAGGAACCCAGGAGCUCCCCAGGCCCCGCAGCUGCAGAGGAAGGCUGCCGUUCCUGCCUGUCGCAGCAGCUGGGGUGGGCUUCGAGCCUCAGCCUUCUCCAAGGGUCAUCCAAGCAGAACAAAGUGUCUGGGGCUCACCAAGGUGGCGACUAGGAAAGCUCUCCCUCUCCCACUGUAUCUAUGUGCAUCUGUGUUUGACUAAAUGCUUCACUGGGGUAUUUCCAGCCACGCUCAGCCCUCAUGCAGAAUUCUGUCGAGUGAGAGCUGUAGGGAGGAGGGGAAAUGCAGCCUUUCAAAGGGUGCAUCACUGGGCUUCAUCCUCCCAUAAGAGAGGCACACAGAUGGCCAGCCUGCCCCUAUGGUUAAGCAGUGCGUGCUACUUGGGUCCUGUGAGUGUUUUAGUUCAUUUCCCAAGCUGCUGAGAGGAACUUGAGGUACAUCAGACACAGCAUAGUCUUCUUCCAUCUGGGUUCCCCUGCCUCUACUUCAGGAUUUCAGACUAUUCCAAAAGACCUUGGAUUUGACUGCAUGAAAUGAGACUUUGUGCCUUCUCCCCAUGAGUUAUUCCGGGAUGAAUGAAGAAGGGUGAGAUGACAGCACCAUUCAUGCAAGAAGGGAGGAGGAACUCAUUAUUAUUGUUCAUGGUGUGCUGUCAACUCAAAUACAUGGAAAAAGCGAGUGCUGUCAACCUUAGGGUUGCCUAGAAAGGUUGUAUAAUCCUUGGAGAUCUUCAGAAGCCAUCUGGACAUGGUUCUGGGCAGCCUGCUCCAGGUGUCCCUGCUUGAGCACCAGAUGACCUCCAGAGGCCCUUGCAACCUCAGCCACUCUGCAAUUUCACAAUACCAUGCUUCAUCCAUCAUUCAAGGUGGCCAAAAAUAGAGACAAAGUUGACUGUAAAAGUGUUCUUGUCAGCAGGACAAGGUCUGUCACUGGAAGUAUCCCAACCUGGUACAGAACGGAAGUGGUGCCUGAUACAGCUGGCAAAUAAUCACAUGGUACAGGUGAAAAAACAGUGUGAUGUAGGAAACAAUGAGAAGAUUGCCCUAAAAUGUAUAUUCUGCUAUAUGAAACCAUUGCUUCAUAUGUCGUCUUUUCUUUGCAAAAUUUUUUGUUUUGCUGAGAGCCAUGUGAUAUUUUUCUUCAAAUUUGUCACGUCACCUUUGUUCUCUGAACUUGGUUUUGAGUUUCAAGCUUUGUGUGGAUCCCGUUUAUAAUGAACAAUCAAUAAACUUUGGUUUCGAACUAAUCCGAGCAACACAUUUCUAGUUUUGCCUGCUUACAGUUCAAAAAUAAGCUGGCCAAGAAAAUUUCCUGAAGCAAGAGGAGUUUUUGAUGAAACAUUCAGGAAACAAGUGAAUUUGGGAUGUCAGUUUGUAGGGAUCUAAAUUCUGAAUGAGUACUUUUGAAAAAUAUGUCUGAUCUAUAUAUAGUGGAGAAAGCAUAAACAUCUUGAGAAAUGUUUUGUAUUUUUGCAUUGGGAUUUGAAAGAGACCUUGGGGGCCCCAACCAACAUGACUCCAGUCCGUGAAUGUCUGAUGGGUAAUGCUGGAUUAGAACAGCUAUGAGCAGAUGGGCUAUGUGCUCUUCUUGUACUAGAAUUUAACAGAUUAUCGUUAAGAAAGUUUCUGGAAAAAAAAAAAAAAAAGCCUAAACAAUUACUGCUGGGGCUAUGGUGGUGUCUAGAAGGUCGCUGCCAGAACCGUUGGCCUAAGAUGAAAUUUAUAUCAAAAUAAGACUCUGUAUAAGUAGGGCCCAGAGACCAUUGGCUUUGCGUAGGACAGACAAGUCUGUCUGCUUGCGUUCCCUAAGGCGCAGCCAUAAAUAUCACUGUAGUAAUGAGAGCUCACAGAAAAAUCUGAGACAGUUCUUGCUCCGAGGGAUGUUGCUGCAGAAGAAGUUUGAAUAGCACUGUGUUCUCUGUUAAUGAGAUGUUGUGCAUCUUACUCUUUUGAGAUUGCCUAGCUAGUAUAUUGGCUACGUCUGAGAUAUUUUUGCACAUAUGGACUAAAAUUCAGAGCCAGUGCCUAGAAAGUUGUGUAUGGAUAUAUUUCCAAGAGGUGAAUGGGUGAUGCUGGCAAAAUACUGCUAUACUGCAUGCAAGUAAAUACUCUUAUUCUGAAGAUAUCUGUAAUUACAGCUGUAGAAAAACUAACCGUGUGUUUGGAUGUAAUCAAUCAUGCCAUGGCCAGGUUUAUGCAGGAAUUAAUAUGAAAUGGAUGAUCACCAUGUCUCUUUGUGUUUAAAACCAGUAAAUUUCAUAUAUUUUCAUUUCCUUUCUUAAUUCCCACUUCAUUGGCUUUACACUUUUUGUCUUUUUUCCCUGAUGAGAAUUUUUCUCUCUCCCUUCUGAAGCUGAGGGCUUUGAUCCAGUCCUUGCCUCCCUCUUAUUAAUUUGUGUAAUCCCACAGAGCAGUAGGAUGCCUGUGGCUCGUCGGAGCCUCUGUGCCGAGGUGGAUGGAACAACUAGAUUUUGCAAGAUCAGCUAAUCCCAUAUGAUACACGACCUCCUCAAAGAGUAGACACAAGCUCUGUUCUCAAAACAGCAAAAACUAAUCCUCAUUUAAAUCACACUGAUGUAAUAUAUAUUUUUUUCCAGUUGGAUAAGACAUUUGGACAUGAAACUCUCAUGGGAAAACGAAAGAGCUGUGGUAUAAUGUGGGCAGGGGAUUCAGGUUGCCAAGAAGAUGGUGUAUAUUUGGUGAGCAGUGAUUUUUUCUGGGAAAAAAAAUAAUUCAGGUGUUCCACAUGCCAGUUUCAUGUUCCCAUGCUUUAGUUUAUUUAACUGAGCUGCCAAAGGCAUGUCCUGUAUGGUCUCUUACACAUUGCAUGGACAUGAACACCAACCAAGGAUGAGAUUUUUCUUGAUGCUGAUCUAUGAACCCACUCCAGUUUUCAGAUAUGUCUUUGUGGUCAUCAGCCCAGUACUUUGGGCUCUCCUUGUCCUGCCUUCCCUGGUACUCUGUGCAGAGGGUGAAAGCAUCCACUAGUGUUGCUUCAUACUCCCCUGUUUACCUACCACAGCAUCCCAUCAGCUCUCCAAAGAAUCUCAGGCUGUUUUCUGGAGAAAGGAGGUUAAGAAUAGGGAGAGAAUGGAAGUGGUUCUUUGUGAUCAUGGCAUAACUUCAGAAAAGUCUGCAAUGAGAAGCCUGAUGUGGAAAGCUGACCGUUUGAAACUACAGACAUAACACCUAGGAAAAAAAAAACCCACAGCAGCAGAGGGA